UACGGGGGGAGCAAGCGUUGUUCGGAUUUACUGGGCGUAAAGGGCGCGUAGGCGGCCACCGCAAGUCGGUUGUGAAAUCUCCGGGCUUAACCCGGAAAGGUCAACCGAUACUGCGGGGCUAGAGUGCGGAAGGGGCAACUGGAAUUCUCGGUGUAGCGGUGAAAUGCGUAGAUAUCGAGAGGAACACCUGCGGCGAAGGCGGGUUGCUGGGCCGACACUGACGCUGAUGCGCGAAAGCGUGGGGAGCAAA
rnacentral:rRNA from 1 species